rnacentral:lncRNA from 1 species
AUGUGUAUCACCAAACUCAGCCCUCUUUGUAGUAUAUUUUUUUUGGUACCUGGGGUUGAACUCAGGACCUCGCACUUGCCAGGCAGGCACUGUGGCACUGAGCUACAUCCCUGGCUAUGCAGUUUUGUUUUGUUUUUGAGACUGGGUCUCACUGUGUAGUUCAGGCUGACCUUGAACUCAGUAUGGAGCCCAGGAUGGCCUCAAACUUGCAACAAUCCUCCUGCCUCAGGCUCAUCCUCUUAAGCGCUGGGAUUACAGGCGUGUGCCACCAUGCCCCACCUACCUUUGUGGUUUUAAUGGAGCAUUUCCUCAGCUGUGUGCUGUCUUUUAAUGAGCCAAUCAAAGGCAAUCUUCAUGUUACAAUGUUUUCAAUCUAGAGAUUUCUUUUUAUUUCUUGGAGUUUCUCACUCUAGAUUGUCCAUCUGUCACUACUUGCUGUCUAUUUUCGCCUGCAGCAUAUUAAUAAUUAUCGUUUUGACCUCCCUUCCUGAUAAUUCCAACAUCCUUGUCAUCAAUGGGUCUGGUUCGGGUGCUUGCUCUGUUUCUUCACACUGUGUUCUUUGCCUUUAGUAUGUCUUCUCGUGUUUUCUUGCUCGCCAGGCAUGAGGCACCAGCACACACAGACCUGCCGUACAGACCUCAGCAAUGCUUUUGUCAGGUGUUAGGGAGGGAGGCAACCUGCAGGCGAUGAUGACUUCCCCAGUCUGGCAGUGGCCUUGUGCCUUCGGGCUGUGAGCCCCACACUCCCAGCCUGGGGGUACAGGAUGAGGUCAGUGGGCUGGAGAUGGGUCUCCUCCUUGCCCUGUGGAAGGCUGGGAGGGGCUGGACCCAAGUAUUUUAUUUCCUCCACGUGGAAAGCUAGAACAAGCAGGGUUGGGUAUUUUCCUUUCCCUAGGUCAACUGGGCUCUGAUAAAACUCCAGCUGGUUCAGUUUUAGUUAAAUAAUGUCUCCCGAGGGCAGAACUUGUUAAGAAGAAUGGAAUGCCCGAGUGUAUUUCAAGAUGGUUCCUUUCCCCAUCUCUCUGCCAGAAGCACAAUAGGGUUUUUCUCUAGUAGUCAUCGUGAGAACCUACAAGAACUCCAGGAGGUAAAACUCACAAAGUGCGGAGCCCCUGUGACUGGGCUCCCCUUGAACUUUAAUUUCACAGUUUGCCCACCCCGAGCCUGCAGUGUCUUGUCCAUUGCAGUUUCCUUACUCUGCCAGCGGAGAAAGAAAGAGAAGAUCCAAAGCAUGAAUAGUGGAAACCCUUCAGGCAAUGUACUCGUCUGGACAAAGGUAAGCAAAGCAGGGGCGUGGCAGCCCCCCCCCCAAGAGUCCCAGCAAGCCGUGUAUCCAUCCGUGUGCUACGCAGAGCCACAGGAGGUUGCAGUGGAAGUUAAGUCCCAGUUGGGACCUUAAGAAAGUUUGUCAG